GAUGAACGCUAGCUACAGGCUUAACACAUGCAAGUCGAGGGGUAACGAGAGGGAAGCUUGCUUUCCUUGUCGACGACCGGCGCACGGGUGAGUAACGCGUAUCCAACCUGCCCCCAACUAGGGAAUAACCUUGCGAAAGUAAGACUAAUACCCUAUAAUUUCCUCAGAUGCCAUCUGACGAGGAAUAAAGAUUUAUCGGUUGUGGAUGGGGAUGCGUCUGAUUAGCUUGUUGGCGGGGUAACGGCCCACCAAGGCAACGAUCAGUAGGGGUUCUGAGAGGAAGGUCCCCCACAUUGGAACUGAGACACGGUCCAAACUCCUACGGGAGGCAGCAGUGAGGAAUAUUGGUCAAUGGGCGGAAGCCUGAACCAGCCAAGUAGCGUGCAGGAUGACGGCCCUAUGGGUUGUAAACUGCUUUUAUACAGGAAUAAAGUUAGCCACGUGUGGUUAUUUGUAGGUACUGUAUGAAUAAGGACCGGCUAAUUCCGUGCCAGCAGCCGCCGUAA
rnacentral:rRNA from 1 species